CGAGAGAAGAGAAAGACAAACCAAGGCGAUAUCCUUACUAAAAAUUCAGGAAGCUCUGGUCAGGGUCAAGGAAGAAGCAAGCCGCCAUAUAAUGAACUUGCCAGCAAAUAUUAUUCGCUGUCGAGAAAGUGCGCAAAGUGAUAAAACAUCGCAUAUCAGUUGUGGGAUAAAACGUGUAAUGCGGUAUGUUCAUACUGUAUAAUAUAUUCUGUAUAAAUGCCGUACUAACAAAAAGCAAACGAUGAAACGAUUAUAUAUUUUGUUUUGCUUUGUUGAACUUUGGGCUAUAUAUAGACGCGCGAGUACACUAGUUGACGAUAUUAACUUAAUAACAGAUACAGUAUUCGCUCAAAUUGAAUCAUGUGCUUAAAGCACAAACUUUCAUGCUUUGUUGAUUUGCUAUAAACCAGUCAUGCAUUCUAUUAUUUACCACUGAAAGAUUUAAUUGUAUUUAAGGUUUUCCAUCUGCCAAACGGGAUGUGUGUUGUCUAAUAAAGUAUUCCACUCAUACAGCUAGCGCUCAUUAAAUAUUAAUCCAGAGGCGUACAUUAUGAGUAGACAAAAGCAUUGGCAGCCGGAAAGUAUAGUUGUUUCGAUAACCCUAAUGAGUAUUGAGUAACACAAAAUGUUUUGGAGUUGAGUUUAUCGAGCUACAAUAUUUGUGAGUUUUUACAUAGCCAUAUUUCUGUUAACCUGGUAAUAUGCUAUGUGUACAAAUUACGCUCUCUCUUGAAAGCAAAAUUGCCUUCAAUUAGACAGAAUAAAAUAAAAAAGACUAAAAGAGCAUUAGGAACAUUGUAUUUUUUAAUGUGUUAACCAUAAUUAACAUCUAGCAAGCCCAUGUAUUAUUUUGUGGCUUCCCAAGGUGUGUUGCUUCGAGCCCGACCACGUGCUAAUGUCUCUGAAAGACAUACCCAGCUAACACUUGAACAUUGUUAUUUGCAGGUUGAUAUUAGCAAAUGUGAUAAUACAUGUAACUAAGUAUUCUUACGUGUUCAACCAUGCGAAUUGGCGGACCUCCAAAUAGAAUCCCCAAAUGUAGAAGGCACAUAUGGAGAAUAUCAUUUGACAGUGCUCUACCGUAUCCCCUAGCAAGGAACCACAAUUUCAAGAAACCACAUUCAUAUCAUUGUGUGCCUCAUCUACACGGGAUCCAAACAGAGAUUAAAACAUAUUCCAUUGUAAUGGAGUCUAAUUGUUGGACAUGGAAUACAAUAAAUGACAGAGUACAGGUUAUUAUUUGACGCUGCAUUUCAUGAGCAGAAAUUAAUGAUGAUAUACAUAGGAGAUGCUCUGCAUCACAUUCACAAGACUGAAGGAAUACUUGCGUUGCAAUUUAAUGUCAAAUACUGUUUCGGUUUGUAGCCAAAAAGGUUAUUUAGUAAAGUUUGGGAAAGUAAUUUGUCAAGUCAUGUACUGUAGGAAUACACAAAUGAAGAAAUAUAAUUAAGACAACUUAUACUCAUAUAGCACCAGAAGUUCCCAAUUGUAAACAAAUCAGUUACUAAACCAAAU